rnacentral:rRNA from 1 species
UGGGGAAUCUUGCGCAAUGGACGAAAGUCUGACGCAGCCAUGCCGCGUGAAUGAUGAAGGUCUUAGGAUUGUAAAGUUCUUUAGCCUGUGACGAUGAUGACGGUAACAGGAGAAUAAGCCCCGGCUAACUUCGUGCCAGCAGCCGCGGUAAUACGAAGGGGGCUAGCGUUGUUCGGAAUUACUGGGCGUAAAGCGCGCGUAGGCGGUUUUACAAGCCAGAGGUGAAAUGCCUGAGCUCAACUUAGGAAUUGCCUUUGGAACUGUAUGGCUUUGAGGACGAGAGAGGUGAGUGGAAUUCCCAGUGUAGAGGUGAAAUUCGUAGAUAUUGGGAAGAACACCGGUGGCGAAGGCGGCUCACUGGCUCGUUUCUGACGCUGUAGCGCGAAAGCGUGGGGAUCAAACA